rnacentral:rRNA from 1 species
UGGGGAAUAUUGGACAAUGGGCGCAAGCCUGAUCCAGCCAUGCCGCGUGAGUGACGAAGGCCUUAGGGUUGUAAAGCUCUUUUAACGGGGAAGAUAAUGACGGUACCCGUAGAAUAAGCUCCGGCUAACUUCGUGCCAGCAGCCGCGGUAAUACGAAGGGGGCUAGCGUUGUUCGGAAUUACUGGGCGUAAAGAGUUCGUAGGCGGUUUAUUAAGCUAGAUGUGAAAUCCCUGGGCUUAACUCAGGAACUGCAUUUAGAACUGGUAAGCUAGAGAGUGUUAGAGGUUGGUAGAAUUCCUAGUGUAGGGGUGAAAUCCGUAGAUAUUAGGAGGAAUACCGAUGGCGAAGGCAGCCAACUGGGACAUUUCUGACGCUGAGGAACGAA